GCUCCUACAUGCAUGAAACCUGGGGUGGAUACUUAAACCCUUGGACCCAGGACGAGGCUACUGAGACUUAUACUCUUGGAUAGUGGACGUUACUCGCAGAAUAAGCACCGGCUAACUCUGUGCCAGCAGCCGCGGUAAUACAGAGGGUGCGAGCGUUAAUCGGAUUUACUGGGCGUAAAGCGUGCGUAGGCGGCUUUUUAAGUCGGAUGUGAAAUCCCCGAGCUUAACUUGGGAAUUGCAUUCGAUACUGGGAAGCUAAAGUAUGGGAGAGGAUGGUAGAAUUCCAGGUGUAGCGGUGAAAUGCGUAGAGAUCUGGAGGAAUACCGAUGGCGAAGGCAGCCAUCUGGCCUAAUACUGACGCUGAGGUACGAAAGCAUGGGGAGCAAACAGGAUUAGAUACCCUGGUAGUCCAUGCCGUAAACGAUGUCUACUAGCCGUUGGGGCCUUUGAGGCUUUACUGGCGCACCUAACGCGAUAAGUAGACCGCCUGGGGAGUACGGUCCCCACACUAAAACUCAAA
rnacentral:rRNA from 1 species